rnacentral:rRNA from 1 species
GAUGAACGUUGGCGGUGUGCCUAAUACAUGCAAGUCGAACGGAGCUAAUAGCAAUAUUGGCUCAGUGGCGAACGGGUGAGUAACGCGUGAGAAACCUGCCUUUCACAAAGGGACUAGCCUCGGGAAACUGGGAUUAAUACCUUAUGAUACUUACAUUUCACAUGAGAAGUAAGUUAAAGCGACAAAGCGGUAGAAAGAUGGUCUCGCGUCCAUUAGUUAGUUGGUGAGGUAACAGCUCACCCAAGGCGAUGAUCAGUAGUCGGCCUGAGAGGGUGACCGGCCACACUGGGACUGAGACACGGCCCAGACUCCUACGGGAGGCAG